rnacentral:rRNA from 1 species
CCUACGGGUGGCAGCAGUGAGGAAUAUUGGUCAAUGGACGAGAGUCUGAACCAGCCAAGUAGCGUGAAGGAUGACUGCCCUAUGGGUUGUAAACUUCUUUUAUAUGGGAAUAAAAUGUUCCACGUGUGGGAUUUUGUAUGUACCAUAUGAAUAAGGAUCGGCUAACUCCGUGCCAGCAGCCGCGGUAAUACGGAGGAUCCGAGCGUUAUCCGGAUUUAUUGGGUUUAAAGGGAGCGUAGGUGGAUUGUUAAGUCAGUUGUGAAAGUUUGCGGCUCAACCGUAAAAUUGCAGUUGAAACUGGCAGUCUUGAGUACAGUAGAGGUGGGCGGAAUUCGUGGUGUAGCGGUGAAAUGCUUAGAUAUCACGAAGAACUCCGAUUGUGAAGGCAGUUCACUGGACUGCAACUGACACUGAGGCUCGAAAGUGUGGGUAUCAAACAGGAUUAGAUACCCGAGUAGUC